AUUGAACGCUGGCGGCAUGCCUUACACAUGCAAGUCGAACGGUAGCGGGCCUUCGGGUGCCGACGAGUGGCGAACGGGUGAGUAAUGUAUCGGAACAUACCUUUCAGUGGGGGAUAACGUAGCGAAAGUUGCGCUAAUACCGCAUAUUCUGUGAGCAGGAAAGCAGGGGAUCGCAAGACCUUGCGCUGAUUGAGCGGCCGAUAUCAGAUUAGCUAGUUGGUGAGGUAAAGGCUCACCAAGGCGACGAUCUGUAGCGGGUCUGAGAGGAUGAUCCGCCACACUGGAACUGAGACACGGGCCAGACUCCUACGGGUGGCAGCAGUCGAGAAUUUUUCUCAAUGGGCGAAAGCCUGAAGGAGCGACGCCGCGUGGGGGAUGAAGGGCUUCGGCUCGUAAACCCCUGUCAUUUGCGAACAAACCCUCCGGUUUAACACAUCGGAGGCUGAUUGUAGCGAAAGAGGAAGGGACGGCUAACUCUGUGCCAGCCGCCGCCGUAAAAC
rnacentral:rRNA from 1 species